CGGUGACACAUCGCUGGGGACACUCGUCAGUUCAACAUGACUUCUUUGGCCGGCCUGAGUCACGUCCUUUUAAUUCUUGUCCUUUGCCAAGGAUCCGCGGCAGAAUCGGACCCCUUUCACUAUGAUUACAAGACUCUUCGCACCGGGGGUCUGAUCUUCGCUGGAUUGAUGCUUCUGUUGGGAUUGGUCGUCCUUAUAGCUGACUUUAAAUGCCUUAAACGCAGUAGAAUACAAUCGACAUAGAGACACAACGUAUUUGGUUUGCCUAGAGAAAUCCUGGAAAAUCUCUUCAGAUAGAGAUGUUGGAUGACGUCCAGGAUGUGACCAUCCAGGGUCGCAGGGAGAGAGGGAAUUCUAUAUUUAUAAUAAUGUUCCAAGUCUUUGGUUUAUAACUGGUCCUGACUGGAUUUACCAGACUGCAAGGAUGAGAUUGGAGAUUCGGUCCCAGAUCAAGAAAUUGUAUCCAUUCAUUGCAAUCUCCCCAUCAGAACUCACAUUAAUCAGAGCGUCCCUCCAAACGUUUAUAGAGUCCAGUGGAUAGCUGUGAUGAG